rnacentral:tRNA from 1 species
GAGGGUAUAGCUCAGUGGAAAAGUGCCUGCAUAGCAUGCAUAAGGUCCUGGGUUCAAUCCCAAGUACCUCCA